rnacentral:lncRNA from 1 species
AGGUGGGAUACUAGACUUUUGAUUUUAGGAGAUUACUCAACGGUGGGGUAUUUACGGAGACACUCAUGCAUUAGAUGACUCAGACAAAUGCCCAAUGGCGGGGCACUGACCAUCGAGUUUUAGGAGUUAUUACCCAACGGUGGGGUAGUGACGAUUCAUAUGCAUUAGAUGAUUCAGAAUAAUACCCAUCGGUGGGGGUACUAAACAUCAAAUUUUUAGGAGUUAUUACCCAAUGGUGGGGUAUAUUGUCCAAUGGUGGGACAUUUGGCUCCGUUUAGAGGUGAAAUCCGGAUCAUGAGCAUUGCAUAUAGACUGACCAUUAGGGACUAACGCAUUUUAGUCAAGUUGUAACUUAAGGCUAAGAGUGGUGACUAAGAAAUUGAGUAAUGUUUGUACGGCCUAUUUAAUCAUUUUUGGUUAUUUGUUUUUAAAUAUAUGUCUGCAUGAAUAUUUGUACGAUGUUUGUUAGUUGGAGAUGACCCUUACUUUU